GGAACAACUAUAUGUCAAAAAAUAGAACAAUCUAGAUAAAAUGAAUAAAUUCCAGGAAACACAUAAUCUCCCCAAGCGAAUCAGGAAGAAUCAGAAUAUAUUAACAGACUAAUUGCAACUAGUAAAAACACUACAUAACAACAUCUAACAU